AUUGAACGCUGGCGGCAGGCCUAACACAUGCAAGUCGAGCGGAUGAAGGGAGCUUGCUCCCGGAUUCAGCGGCGGACGGGUGAGUAAUGCCUAGGAAUCGGCCUGGUAGUGGGGGAUAACGUCCGGAAACGGGCGCUAAUACCGCAUACGUCCUGAGGGAGAAAGUGGGGGAUCUUCGGACCUCACGCUAUCAGAUGAGCCUAGGUCGGAUUAGCUAGUUGGUGGGGUAAAGGCCUACCAAGGCGACGAUCCGUAACUGGUCUGAAGGGAUGAUCAGUCACACUGGAACUGGGAAACGGCCCAGCCUCCUACGGGAGGCGCAAGUGGGGAAUAUUGGACAAUGGGCGAAAGCCUGAUCCAGCCCUGCCGGGUGUGUGAAGAAGUUCUUCGGAUUGUAAAGCACUUUAAGUUGGGAGGAAGGGCAGUAAGUUAAUACCUUGCUGUUUUGACGUUACCAACAGAAUAAGCACCGGCUAACUUCGUG
rnacentral:rRNA from 1 species